AUGUAUAGGGGUCUGAUGACAGGGAUACUGGAGUGAUGGAGGUAGAUAUGUAUAGGGGUAAGAUGACAGGGAUACUAGAGUGAUGGAGGUAGAUAUGUAUAGGGGUAUGAUGACAGGGAUACUAGAGUGAUGGAGGUAGAUAUGUAUAGGGGUAAGGUGACAGGGAUACUGGAGUGAUGGAGGUAUAUAUGUAUAGGGGUAAGGUGACAGGGAUACUAGAGUGAUGGAGGUAGAUAUGUAUAGGGGUAAGGUGACAGGGAUACUAGAGUGAUGGAGGUAGAUAUGUAUAGGGGUAAGGUGACAGGGAUACUGGAGUGAUGGAGGUAGAUAUGUAUAGGGGUAAGAUGACAGGGAUACUGGAGUGAUGGAGGUAGAUAUGUAUAGGGGUAAGGUGACAGGGAUACUAGAGUGAUGGAGGUAGAUAUGUAUAGAGGUAAGGUGACAGGGAUACUAGAGUGAUGGAGGUAGAUAUGUAUAGGGGUAAGGUGACAGGGAUACUAGAGUGAUGGAGGUAGAUAUGUAUAGAGGUAAGGUGACAGGGAUACUAGAGUGAUGGAGGUAGAUAUGUAUAGGGGUAAGGUGACAGGGAUACUAGAGUGAUGGAGGUAGAUAUGUAUAGAGGUAAGGUGACAGGGAUACUAGAGUGAUGGAGGUAGAUAUGUAUAGGGGUAAGGUGACAGGGAUACUGGAGUGAUGGA